CCCGAAAGCUAUUUAGGUAGCGCCUCGUGAAUUCAUCUCCGGGGGUAGAGCACUGUUUCGGCAAGGGGGUCAUCCCGACUUACCAACCCGAUGCAAACUGCGAAUACCGGAGAAUGUUAUCACGGGAGACACACGGCGGGUGCUAACGUCCGUCGUGAAGAGGGAAACAACCCAUACCGCCAGCUAAGGUCCCAAAGUCAUGGUUAAGUGGGAAACGAUGUGGGAAGGCCCAGACAGCCAGGAUGUUGGCUUAGAAGCAGCCAUCAUUUAAAGAAAGCGUAAUAGCUCACUGGUCGAGUCGGCCUGCGCGGAAGAUGUAACGGGGCUAAACCAUGCACCGAAGCUGCGGCAGCGACGCUUAUGCGUUGUUGGGUAGGGGAGCGUUCUGUAAGCCUGCGAAGGUGUACUGUGAGGUAUGCUGGAGGUAUCAGAAGUGCGAAUGCUGACAUAAGUAACGAUAAAGCGGGUGAAAAGCCCGCUCGCCGGAAGACCAAGGGUUCCUGUCCAACGUUAAUCGGGGCAGGGUGAGUCG
rnacentral:rRNA from 1 species